rnacentral:SRP_RNA from 1 species
CCGUGCUAGAUGGGGAGAUGGCGGUGCCCUGUAACUCGCAAUCCGCCUUAGCGAGGUUGAAUUCCCAUCUGCGGUACGAAAGGGUAAGGUCUGCCUUGUGUAAAGGAGUGUUGACAAUUGGGUCCAACGCAAUGGAAAUUCAUGAAACGGGUCAGGUCCGGAAGGAAGCAGCCCUAAGUGGAACCUUCUAUGUGCCGUGGGGUAGCCUGGUUCGAGCUCACUUUCACAAGUAACGCUUGGUCUCUCGUAUCCAAGAUGGGUGCACGG